GAUCUGGUUAUAAUAUUAGUUACAGUCAAGUGAGAGAAACAAAUGUGAUUGUAAGUACCAAGAAGGGGCUGUAUCAGAUCAUUAACACCAGAUAACGAAGACCAUCUUCCUUGGCGUACAUCAACAAACCAAAAGUCUUAGGGACUCUGAUGUUUACAUCUACAUUCCUCUAGCAAAUAAAGAUGGCAGCCAUCAACGGAGUCUAUCAACAAACGUAAGGUAUUUCAAGUUUACAUCAGGACUCCUCCAGCACGUGAAGGAUGUCAGCUAGCUUGUUAAUCUUUGGCGGAGUCUGCAAACACCAGAUAACGAAGACCACCUUCCUUGGGGUCCAUCAACAAGCACAAGACGAGAAGGUAAACAGCUAGAGCCUCGCAAUCUGCAAAGUUGCCCAGGACCCGUCAUGGAAGUGGAACCUGCUGGAGGUGUGGUCAACGCAUCAGGAAACAGCGGGAAACACCAGCAUCCCCAGGACAUCACUGGACAUCGAGGGACCGAACCAGCGGACUCCGGGAUCCGAAGUCUUCGGGGUAUGAAGACCCCAGGAUUGGAAGACUUCGAAUUCCAGGAUCUCCAGGUACGAACACGUCGAAUUUCGAAAAUUUCGAAGUUCGAAGGUCGCGGGAUGCGAAGAUCUCGCAAUUGGUAAG
rnacentral:misc_RNA from 1 species